UGGGGAAUAUUGCACAAUGGGCGCAAGCCUGAUGCAGCCAUGCCGCGUGUGUGAAGAAGGCCUUCGGGUUGUAAAGCACUUUCAGCGGGGAGGAAGGCGAUAAGGUUAAUAACCUUGUCGAUUGACGUCACCCGCAGAAGAAGCACCGGCCAACUCCGUGCCAGCAGCCGCGGUAAUACGGAGGGUGCAAGCGUUAAUCGGAAUUACUGGGCGUAAAGCGCACGCAGGCGGUUUGUUAAGUCAGAUGUGAAAUCCCCGGGCUCAACCUGGGAACUGCAUCUGAUACUGGCAAGCUUGAGUCUCGUAGAGGGGGGUAGAAUUCCAGGUGUAGCGGUGAAAUGCGUAGAGAUCUGUAGGAAUACCGGUGGCGAAGGCGGCCCCCUGGACGAAGACUGACGCUCAGGUGCGAAAGCGUGGGGAGCAAACAGG
rnacentral:rRNA from 1 species